UACGGGGGGGAGCAAGCGUUGUUCGGAUUUACUGGGCGUAAAGGGCGCGUAGGCGGUCAGCACAAGUCAGUUGUGAAAUCUCCGGGCUUAACUCGGAAAGGUCAACUGAUACUGUGCGACUAGAGUGCGGAAGGGGCAACUGGAAUUCUCGGUGUAGCGGUGAAAUGCGUAGAUAUCGGGAGGAACACCUGUGGCGAAGGCGGCCCCCUGGUUGGAUACUGACGCUGAGACGCGAAAGCGUGGGGAGCAAACAGGG
rnacentral:rRNA from 1 species